rnacentral:rRNA from 1 species
GCUUACGGCCACACUGCCUAGUUCACGCCCGAUCUCGUUUGAUCUCGGAAGCUAAGAUAGGGUGGGCCUGGUUAAUACUUGGAUGGGAGACCCCCCUGGGAAUACCAGGUGCUGUAAGCU